UACGUAGGGUGCGAGCGUUAAUCGGAAUUACUGGGCGUAAAGCGUGCGAAGGCGGUUCGUUAAGUCAGAUGUGAAAGCCCCGGGCUCAACCUGGGAACUGCAUUUGAAACUGGCGGGCUUGAGUGAGGCAGAGGGGGGUGGAAUUCCGCGUGUAGCAGUGAAAUGCGUAGAUAUGCGGAGGAACACCGAUGGCGAAGGCAAUCCCCUGGGCCUGCACUGACGCUCAUGCACGAAAGCGUGGGGAGUAAACAGG
rnacentral:rRNA from 1 species